rnacentral:misc_RNA from 1 species
CAUUCCUCGAUCCAUCCUCCGACGAGGCUUAUGGCCUACAACGCCGGAGUUUUGCUCAGAGAAUAACGCAGAUUGCUUUUUCCUGCGACCAGAAAAUAUUGCAGACAACCAGGAAGGCGAAGAAGAUGAUGCCUCGCACGAAGUCCUAGAAGGAACUCCACGACCAGAAACAGAAGGAUCCGGAUUAAAUUUCUCGGAUCUGGACCUGAACAUAUUAGACAAACGGGAGAAUCUGGCGGGCUUAGCUUUACAAGUUGCAGAAGUGGCGAAGCCGGAUGCUGUGGAGGCAGAGUUGUAAGUGGGGCCCAUCUGGGGAGUGCUGUAGAAGCGGAGGUGGUGGGACCAGGAGGUGUCGUCGGAUUUCCGGCGAGCAACGUAUGGAGAAACGGAGCGAGGGAACAUGAUAGGAGGUGGCUGAGCGUCUGAUUUGCGACUAUCAUCUACGGCGGCGCUUGAGUGGAGACAAGCCAAUUGAGGAUGGUGGUGUAUCUGUUGAACCUGAGCCUGUGCGGCGAUGAGGACGAUGAGGCGUUCCCGGAGACAGGAGGCGCAGACGCCGACGGUGCUACUGAGGUCACAGGGAUGUUUCUUACACCUCAUUUAUUGGGAGUGCAAAAAUGUUAAAAAUGUAAGGUAUAUAUUGUGUGAUUGAUUGGGAAUAUAACAGUAGGGCGUUCAUGCGGCGGAGGUGGUCUCCAGUGCCAUUUUUCUGGGUGUGGUUAGCUCCUGCUGGAGGAUGAAGAGAUCUGAUGAGGAAAUCAAAGCGGAGGGUUUGUCUCCUUGUUAGUUUUUAUUAAUAAAAAGAAAAGGCGAGAGUAGACGAGCGUUUUUAUGCCAGAGAGUGAGCAUUCGGUUGUUGGAGUUUUAAAUGUCUAGUGUAUGGUGUUUCUUUAUUAAACGCUAGAGAGAGAGAGAGAGAGUCUAAGUUUAAAAAUCGACCGAGGGCACCCUGUAUUUCUUUUGCAACACCAAAAUGGGAAUCUAUAUGCAAAGACUCGUAUUCAUUAUAUCUUGAGAUAGC